rnacentral:rRNA from 1 species
GACGAACCGAGCGAACGUUGUUCGGAAUCACUGGGCUUAAAGGGCGCGUAGGCGGAUUUGCAAGUCCGUGGUGAAAUCCCACAGCUCAACUGUGGAACUGCCUCGGAUACUGUGAGUCUCGAGGGUGGUAGGGGUAUGCGGAACUAUCGGUGGAGCGGUGAAAUGCGUUGAUAUCGAUAGGAACUCCGGUGGCGAAGGCGGCAUACUGGACCACAUCUGACGCUGAGGCGCGAAAGCCAGGGGAGCGAACGGG